UUAUAACUUCUACUUAUUUUAGAUAUGUUGCUGCUGUUGGUUUCUUAGUAAAUGUUUUCUUAUGUUGCAGCCGUGCCUUCCAGAGGUUUGCUGUGAGGACAAACAGGACUUUUGAGAAUCUUUCGUCUAAAGCUAAAGAAGUGAAGCAGGAUGUAUCAGAGAAAUGGAGGGAUGUUCGUGGACAGGAUGAUCAUUUCAGGCAGUGACGCUUGGCACAUUUCUUGGCAUCCAUCAAGUUGCUUGCAGUACAAUCCCGCUGUCUGUUUUCCGUGUGCUUGUGCUACUUUUUGAAGUCCUCAACCUGCCGAAGAGUCCAUUGUAUAGAAUUGAUAUGAUCUCAGUUUGUUAGCUUGAACUUGAGGAGUAUAUGACAAGUCAGUAUUGCAUUUUCCUAUUAUAUCUGUCAGUUGGCAUUGACUGAUCUUCAUGGGGUCAUCCAGUUCUGUGAUGUGAUCAAUAAGGAAUCUCUGAAUUUGGUGCCCUUUUUCUUUGCUAA